rnacentral:rRNA from 1 species
GAUGAACGCUGGCGGCGUGCUUAACACAUGCAAGUCGAACGGAAAGGCCCUGCUUUUGUGGGGUGCUCGAGUGGCGAACGGGUGAGUAACACGUGAGUAACCUGCCCUUGACUUUGGGAGAACUUCAGGAAACUGGGGCUAAUACCGGAUAGGAGCUCCUGCUGCAUGGUGGGGGUUGGAAAGUUUCGGCGGUUGGGGAUGGACUCGCGGCUUAUCAGCUUGUUGGUGGGGUAGUGGCUUACCAAGUCUUUGACGGGUAGCCGGCCUGAGGGGGUGACCGGCCACAUUGGGACUGAGAUACGGCCCAGAAUCCUACGGGGGGAAGCAGUGGGGAAUAUUGCACAAUGGGCGGAAGCCUGAUGCAGCAACGCCGCGUGCGGGAUGACGGCCUUCGGGUUGUAAACCGCUUUCGCCUGUGACGAAGAGUGAGUGACGGUAAUGGGUAAAGAAGCACCGGCUAACUACGUG